UACGUAGGGGCAAGCGUUAUCCGGAAUUACUGGGUGUAAAGGGUGAGUAGGCGGCAUGGCAAGUUAGAUGUGAAAGCCCGGGGCUUAACUCCGGGAUUGCAUUUAAAACUGCUAAGCUUGAGUACAGGAGAGGUAAGCGGAAUUCCUAGUGUAGCGGUGAAAUGCGUAGAUAUUAGGAAGAACACCGGUGGCGAAGGCGGCUUACUGGACUGAAACUGACGCUGAGGCACGAAAGCGUGGGGAGCAAACAGGAUUAGAUACCCUGGUAGUCCCUGAG
rnacentral:rRNA from 1 species